rnacentral:misc_RNA from 1 species
CACCUGCCGUUGGCACGCUUGCUCUUCUCCCCCUCGAUUCUCUAGUCCUUCUCUUUUCUUUUGCCCACCCUAUCUCACUUCUUAACUUCCACACCUACCGAAGGCUGACGCACGCGCGAAGCUGCUUUUUCAGCAAGUCCACGCAAGUCUGCUUCAGCUCCCUCCGCUCCCUCCUCCGCACUCCGCGAAGCUUAAUCGAGUGUCUUUCACUUCCUCAUCCCCCCCCCGGUGAUGUUCCGCUACUCCCACCUGAUUCGCUGCGCCGCGCAGCCUGUGGUAAAGGCGUGCCAGGUCGGCCCCGUGGUUACGUUAACUAUCAACCGCCCCACCCAGCUUAAUGCCCUCAACAGGGCCGUGUCGGAGAGCCUCAUGGAAAACUUGGAAAAGUACGACAAGGACCCCUCGUGCUCCGCGUUCAUCAUCACAGGCGAGGGUCGCGCAUUCGUCGCGGGGGCUGAUAUUAAGUCUAUGAAGGAUCGCACCUUUUCCGAGGGCGUCCUGUCAAACGACUUCCAAGCAUUGACCCGCAUCCGUACCAUCGGCAAGCCGAUCAUUGCGGCGGUCAAUGGUUUCGCUCUCGGCGGUGGGUGUGAGCUGGCCAUGUCCUGCGACAUCAUUGUCGCAAGCGAAGAGGCGAAGUUUGGACAGCCUGAGAUUAAGCUGGCGACCAUUCCAGGACUGGGCGGCACGCAGCGUCUGACGCGCAUGAUUGGCAAGGCUCGUGCGAUGGAGUGGGUUCUCUUGGGCAACACGUACACGGCGGCGGAAGCGGAGCGCGCGGGGAUUGUGUCGCGCGUGGUGAAACACGAGGAGCUGAUGCCGACGGCCAUGUUCAUGGCGGAGAAGAUUGCAAGCUACAGCCAGAUUGCCGUGAAGCUGGCCAAAAUGGCUGUAAACGAGUCGCAGGAGACGUUGCUCGCGGCUGGUUUGGCGUACGAGUCUAUGGUUUUCAACUCCACCUUCUCUACUCACGACAGAAAGGAGGGCAUGACCGCGUUUGUGGAGAAGCGCGCACCUCAGUUUCAAAACAAGUGAAGUGCUUCCCUGUUUUACGCUCGUGUACACUCUAUCCUCCUUGCUUCCUUCAGGUAGAUUCGGGUGAGGGCGGCAAGCGUGCCCAACUUCACUUUCCUCGGGGGUAGCGAGCAGAGCGGUGAGCGAGGGGGUUCGUCAAUGGAAACGAGAAAAAGAAAAGAGAGAAUCCAUCAGGGUGUGCAGCAGACAAGGAGACGGUAGGGACUUUGGACGCUCAACAUUCCCCUCUUUGUUGGCGCCGCCUCACAGAGAUGAGCAGUGGGAGAAACGCAUCAGGAGAAUGUGAGCGUUUAAUCGCGCCGCUCCCCUGCCUGCUUCCUUGCUGCUGCUUUCUUUAUUGCUAUUUUUUGUUUUCGUUGUUGCUGUGCUAUCCCUUCGCGUGUUGGAUGUGUCGCUCAGCUCCUUCUCCUUUGGCCUUUUGUUCUGCUUUGUGGUUUCUCUGUUUGGUGCGCCGCCUUUUUACCCAAAAUGUUUACGUUGUUUUUCGCUGCCUUUUGUUUUCACCGCACUCGCCAUCCCCCACUCCGCAGUAAAGGGUGUCUCUCAUCCCCCUUGUUUUUUUCUGAUUGAUGUGCUGGGACUGUCUUGUUUGCUGCGAUCUUCUGACUUCGAUUUGUUACUUCACUGUUUGAGCCGAUUAAAUCCAAUCUCACUCACCUGCACACAUACUCUCCUCUUGCUCGCUCACCGAGCGUGAUGUCUUGCUGUUUUGGUUUGUAGUUGCGUGUGAAAAAAAAAGAAAAGAGGAAUAGGAGGGGCAGAGGGUGACGUACCUUGACUACUGCCUGCAUGUGCGCUUACGCCUGUCUCUCAGGGUCUCUUUCUGACCGGGGCAAGCUACGUGUACCUCUUCCCUCCCCAUGCUCAAGAAUGUUUAUCCCCAAACCUCUUAUGCACCCCCUCCCAUAUUGCGCAAACCACAUUCUCCAAG